rnacentral:rRNA from 1 species
AUUGAACGCUGGCGGCAUGCCUUACACAUGCAAGUCGAACGGUAACGGGCCUUCGGGUGCCGACGAGUGGCGAACGGGUGAGUAAUGUAUCGGAACGUACCUUUCAGUGGGGGAUAACGUAGCGAAAGUUACGCUAAUACCGCAUAUUCUGUGAGCAGGAAAGCAGGGGAUCGCAAGACCUUGCGCUGAUUGAGCGGCCGAUAUCAGAUUAGCUAGUUGGUGAGGUAAAGGCUCACCAAGGCGACGAUCUGUAGCGGGUCUGAGAGGAUGAUCCGCCACACUGGAACUGAGACACGGUCCAGACUCCUACGGGAGGCAGCAGUGGGGAAUUUUGGACAAUGGGGGCAACCCUGAUCCAGCCAUGCCGCGUGAGUGAAGAAGGCCUUCGGGUUGUAAAGCUCUUUCGGCCGGGAAGAAAUCGUAUGGGUUAAUACCCUGUGCGGAUGACGGUACCGGCAUAAGAAGCACCGGCUAAAUACGUGCCAGCAGCCGCCGUAAUAC